rnacentral:rRNA from 1 species
GAAUUUUACGCAAUGGGGGAAACCCUGACGUAGCGACACCGCGUGAGCGAAGAAGCCUUUUGGGGUGUAAAGCUCUGUCAGCUGGAAAGAACACAAUGACGGUACCAGCAGAGGAAGCAUCGGCUAACUACGUGCCAGCAGCCGCGGUAAGACGUAGGAUGCAAGCGUUGUCCGGAUUUAUUGGGCGUAAAGAGUUCGUAGGCUGUUUGUUAAGUCUGGUGUUAAAGACUGAGGCCCAACCUCGGAAAUGCAUCGGAUACUGGCAGACUUGAGUACGGUAGAGGCGAGUGGAAUUCCCAGUGUAGCGGUGAAAUGCGUAGAUAUUGGGAAGAACACCGGUGGCGUAGGCGACUCGCUGGGCCGCAACUGACGCUGAGGAACGAAAGCCAGGGGAGCGAAUGGG